CACAUCUUGCUCUGUGGAUCAGUGGCGAACGGGUGAGUAACACGUGAGCAACCUGCCCUUGACUCUGGGAUAAGCGCUGGAAACGGCGUCUAAUACCGGAUAUGAGCUGCGAUCGCAUGGUCAGCAGUUGGAAAGAUUUUUCGGUCUGGGAUGGGCUCACGGCCUAUCAGCUUGUUGGUGAGGUAAUGGCUCACCAAGGCGUCGACGGGUAGCCGGCCUGAGAGGGUGACCGGCCACACUGGGACUGAGACACGGCCCAGACUCCUACGGGAGGCAGCAGUGGGGAAUAUUGCACAAUGGGCGAAAGCCUGAUGCAGCAACGCCGCGUGAGGGAUGACGGCCUUCGGGUUGUAAACCUCUUUUAGCAGGGAAGAAGCGAAAGUGACGGUACCUGCAGAAAAGCGCCGGCUAACUACGUGCCAGCAGCCGCGGUAAUACGUAGGGCGCAAGCGUUAUCCGGAAUUAUUGGGCGUAAAGAGCUCGUAGCGGUUUGUCGCGUCUGCUGUGAAAUCCCGAGGCUCAACCUCGGGUCUGCAGUGGUACGGCAGACUAGAGUGCGGUAGGGGAGAUGGAAUCCUGGUGUAGCGGUGGAUGCGCAGAUAUAGGAGGAAC
rnacentral:rRNA from 1 species